UACAGAGGGGGCAAGCGUUGUUCGGAAUUACUGGGCGUAAAGGGUUUGUAGGUGGCCCGCUAAGUCACACGUGAAAUCCCUCAGCUUAACUGGGGAACUGCGUGUGAGACUGGCAGGCUCGAGGGCAGGAGAGGAACGCGGAAUUCCAGGUGUAGCGGUGAAAUGCGUAGAUAUCUGGAGGAACACCGGUGGCGAAGGCGGCGUUCUGGACUGUCUCUGACACUGAAGAACGAAAGCCAGGGGAGCAAACGGG
rnacentral:rRNA from 1 species